UACGGAGGAUCCAAGCGUUAUCCGGAUUUAUUGGGUUUAAAGGGUGCGUAGGCGGCCUAUUAAGUCAGGGGUGAAAGACGGUAGCUUAACUAUCGCAGUGCCUUUGAUACUGAUGGGCUUGAAUGUACUAGAGGUAGGCGGAAUGUGACAAGUAGCGGUGAAAUGCAUAGAUAUGUCACAGAACACCGAUUGCGAAGGCAGCUUACUAUGGUAUUAUUGACGUGAGGCACGAAAAGCGUGGGGAUCAAACAG
rnacentral:rRNA from 1 species